ACCCAUGUACCUUGAAAUUCAAGAAAAUUUCAAGUGCACAAGUUUUAUUCCAAGAAGUUUGACCAAAAGUCAACAUUUGAAGUCAAAGCUCCAAAGAUCACAACUUCUUUAAUUCUUAACAUUUCAGGCUUAUUCUUUUUUCACAAUAUCAUUUGUGAUGCACUCUACAUGUUUUCUUCAAGGAUCAAAGUCAAUAUAUGGUUGGAAGACCAUUGAUUUCAUUGAGACAGUAUAGGUAAUUUUC
rnacentral:lncRNA from 1 species